UACGUAGGGCGCAAGCGUUGUCCGGAAUUAUUGGGCGUAAAGAGCUCGUAGGCGGUCUGUCGCGUCUGUUGUGAAAACUCGAGGCUCAACCUCGGGCUUGCAGUGGAUACGGGCAGACUAGAGUGCGGUAGGGGAGACUGGAAUUCCUGGUGUAGGCGGUGGAAUGCGCAGAUAUCAGGAGGAACACCGAUGGCGAAGGCAGG
rnacentral:rRNA from 1 species